GCAGAGAUUCCAUUACCAGGUUCUGGUACAACCCCGAGCAACAGAAGUGCGAGUCCUUUGACUACAGCGGUUGCUAUGGAAACAGGAAUAACUUUGAGACUCUACAAGAUUGCAUGAUUGAGUGUCAGGCUGAAGGCUAAGAAAGAAUGAAAAAGUCUGGCGACAGGAAACCGGAGCAUAUUGUAAUAUUGACUAUUGUAUAAUUAAUUAAAAGAUUAAAAUGAAAAUAUAUCAAUAAACAAUAAAACAC
rnacentral:misc_RNA from 1 species